GAUGAACGCUGGCGGCGUGCUUAACACAUGCAAGUCGAACGGUGAACACGGAGCUUGCUCUGUGGGAUCAGUGGCGAACGGGUGAGUAACACGUGAGCAACCCGCCCCUGACUCUGGGAUAAGCGCUGGAAACGGCGUCUAAUACUGGAUACGAGUAGCGGCCGCAUGGUCAGUUACUGGAAAGAUUUUUUGGUUGGGGAUGGGCUCGCGGCCUAUCAGCUUGUUGGUGAGGUAAUGGCUCACCAAGGCGUCGACGGGUAGCCGGCCGGGGAGGGUGACCGGCCACACUGGGACUGAGACACGGCCCAGACUCCUACGGGAGGCAGCAGUGGGGAAUAUUGCACAAUGGGCGAAAGCCUGAUGCAGCAACGCCGCGUGAGGGAUGACGGCCUUCGGGUUGUAAACCUCUUUUAGCAGGGAAGAAGCGAAAGUGACGGUACCUGCAGAAAAAGCGCCGGCUAACUACGUGCCAGCCGCCGCCGUAA
rnacentral:rRNA from 1 species